ACAUUAUCAUGGUUCCUGCAGGGUUGUCGAUCGACGCGCAUGAAGACGAUGGCGUUGUUCUGCGUGCAACGCAUUCCAGCCAGUCUGGACAUCCCAGGGACAGUACUCUGAGGAAAAGCAAAGAUGGCAGGUAUGCUCUAUCGCCAUGUUGCUUAUUUGUUGAGCAAACACAAUCUUCCUCUUAAAAAAUGUCUAGCUAAUAGAACUAAAAGCUCGCUGUUCUUCGAAGCCCGUAGCUGAAUAGUCACGACCCCUCGUUAACCCAAGGGACCAAAACCAACCCGCGCCCUGUGUCCCUCUACCCUGCCGCUCCCCCAUCCUCCCGUUCGCAACCCCUCCCUUCCCCCAGCAGACCCGCAUCCCGCCCAAGCGCCACCAUUCAAUCACCCUACCUUCAGCCUCCCGGCGGCAGAGCCGCCCAAAACUCUAUCCAUCGUCCCGCCAGUCGCCAACAGUCCCAGCAGUCACCGCAACCCCAGCACCCCCAGCCGCAN
rnacentral:lncRNA from 1 species